UCUGUCUGUCUGUCUGUCUGUCUCUGUCUGACUGUCUGUCUGUCUGUCUGUUGAAGGAUACGUCCAUGAGGUUGACCAUGAUCCUGCAGGUUUCCAUACUGAAACCGUCAGUCUUGAUGUCAGUUCCUGUUGGAAACAGGAAGUUAAAGUUCCCGUCCAGACACAUCUCACACUGCUACUGCGAGGUUGACCAAUGAGAGAUCAGCGCAUGUCUGAGACUCAAAAGCUGGAGACGCGUCAGAACACUCAGGUGAAACGUGUCGAAACUUCAGGUGAACUCACUUUUGGCGACAAUCUUGUUCAUGAUGGUCCUGAGCUCCACGGCCGAGAUCUCCAUGUCCUGAAACACAACCGGAGCAACAACCAAUCAGACAAGGUGGUCAGCCAUGGUACUGCAGGUACCAUCAUCCAGAAAACCUCUAGCUGCAAACAAGUUCAGUUAAUCAUCGUGUUAUGAAGUUUUAAUAAAUGCAGGAUUAUUUUUGUAUGUUUGAGUUUUUCCGGCCUCUGAACCAGAGACGUUUGGAAACUCUGCUGGUCACAGGUUGUGUUUGAGUUUGUUGACGAUGACGCAGACGAGAUAGUUGGCGUGAACAGAAGAACAGAGAACGUACAUCUCCGGCGAGUUUAGCAAAGAGGCCUCUGAAUCCUGCGUCCACCUCCUCGUCAGACACCGUCUCCUGGACACAAACACCCGCAGAACAAUCACAACACGGAAGCAAAACUUUAUUGACUGAGCAAAGUGAAACAGGGAACAAACUGCAGACUCAGUAAAAUGGAUCAGAUGAAAAGAACUUUAUAUUUUGUUUUUAAUUGUUGUAAUCGUUUUUUUAACAUGAGAUUAAAUUAAUCUUUGAUUCAUUUCA